rnacentral:rRNA from 1 species
GAUUAUUCACUUCCCGAGGGGCUCGCGGCCCAUCAGCUUGUUGGUGAGGGUAACGGCCCACCAAGGCGACAACGGGUAGCUGGUCUGAGAGGAUGGUCAGCCACACUGGAACUGAGACACGGUCCAGACACCUACGGGUGGCAGCAGUCGAGAAUCAUUCGCAAUGGGGGAAACCCUGACGAUGCGACGCCGCGUGGAGGAUGAAGGCCUUAGGGUUGUAAACUCCUGUCAAGAGGGAAUAAGCAAGUGAAGGUACCUCUAGAGGAAGGGGCGGCUAAUUCCGUGCCAGCAGCCGCGGUAACACGGAAGCCCCGAGCGUUGUUCGGAUUCAUUGGGCGUAAAGGGUGCGUAGGCGGCGCGGAAAGUCCGGCGUGAAAGGCAGGGGCUCAACCUCUGGACUGCGUUGGAUACUUCCGUGCUGAGGACUGGAGGGGAGACUGGAAUUCACGGUGUAGCAGUGAAAUGCGUAGAUAUCGUGAGGAAGACCGGUGGCGAAGGCGAGUCUCUGGACAGAUCCUGACGCUGAGGCACGAAGGCUGGGGGAGCGAACAGGAUUAGAUACCCUGGUAGUCCCAGCAGUAAACGAUGUGAGCUUGAUGUGGGGGGAUUCGACCCCUUCCGUGUCGAAGCUAACGCGAUAAGCUCACCGCCUGAGGAGUACGGCCGCAAGGCUAAAACUCAAAGAAAUUGACGGGGACCCGCACAAGCGGUGGAGUAUGUGGCUUAAUUCGAUGCAACGCGAAGAACCUUACCUGGCCUUGACAUGCAUUGUGUCGUCGGUGAAAGCCGGCUAGUCCUGGAAACAGGACGCUUUGCACAGGUGCUGCAUGGCUGUCGUCAGCUCGUGUCGUGAGAUGUUGGGUUAAGUCCCGCAACGAGCGCAACCCUUGUGGUCAGUUACUAACCGGCUUAGCCGGAGGACUCUGGCCAGACUGCCCUGUCAAACGGGGAGGAAGGUGGGGACGACGUCAAGUCAGUAUGGCCCUUAUGGCCAGGGCUGCACACGUACUACAAUGCCCGGUACAAUGUGAACCGAAACCGCGAGGUGGAGGAAAUCGCUCUUGAAAACCGGGCCCAGUUCGGAUUGGAGUCUGCAACUCGACUCCAUGAAGUCGGAAUCGCUAGUAAUGGCGUAUCAGCAACG